UACAGAGGUGGCAAGCGUUGUUCGGAUUCAUUGGGCGUAAAGGGUCCGUAGGCGGUUUGAAAAGUCGGGUGUGAAAUCCUACAGCUUAACUGUAGAACUGCAUUCGAAACUUUCGAACUAGAGUAUGAGAGGGGUAAAGGGAAUUCCCGGUGUAAGGGUGAAAUCUGCAGAGAUCGGGAAGAACACCUGUCGCGUAGGCGCUUUACUGGCUCAUCACUGACGCUGAGGGGCGAAAGCUAGGGGAGCAAACGGGAUUAGAUACCCCGGUAGUCCUAGCCGUAAACGAUGAUCACUAGGUGUUGGGGGGGUUAAACCCUUCGGUGCCGACGCUAACGCAUUAAGUGAUCCGCCUGGGGAGUAUGGUCGCAAGGCUGAA
rnacentral:rRNA from 1 species